AAGACUAUAGACCUGCGGAGUACCUGCGGAAGGAUCAUUACCGAGUUUACAACUCCCAAACCCCCUGUGAACCUAUACCAUUACUGUUGCUUCGGCGGGUCAUUGCCCCGGGGAAAGGACGAGGUGCCGCCUAGGCUCCCCGGCCCGCCCCCGGAAACAGGCGCCUGCCGGGGGAAUCAAACUCUUCUGUAUUUUUUACUUUUACUGUUAUACUGUCUGAGUACAAAACUAUAAAUGAAU
rnacentral:misc_RNA from 1 species